GAAAGGCAGGCAUAAACCUGUUUUCUCAGACAUUAAUGGAAAUUGCCUCCUACUGAUGUCGCUUUUCUGGCUUAGUGUUCUGAGAAAGAAACAAGCCAUUCUGUUUCUAACACAAGUAUUGAGUACGCUUUAACUAGUCCAUCAAGGAAGAAAAAUCUCAGUGGACUGGUAUGGCUACUCAGUUCUGCCAAUCCCAUACUAAGAAUGGCCCAAUUUAUCUCUCUCUUUCUAUCUCUCCUGCCUCCCCUUUUCUUUUCUCUUCUCUUCUUUGUCUAUCCGCUCUACUUCAGAGAAGAGAAAGAGAAGUAUUGGAUACCCCUGAAUACCCACUUCAUCUUGUGCCCAAAGUAUGCAAUAUCUUAAGUUUUCUUCAAGUUUAUGAUGAUGACCACUUCCACUAGCUAUUAUGCUGUGAAAAUAAUCCAAAUGCCUGUGGUGGGAUGAUGCAGCAUGAAGGCCCUGCCAGAUGCCAGCACCAUGCUCAUGGACUUCCCAGCCUUCAGAACCAGCAGCCAAAUAAAUUUAUGCUCAUUAUAAAUUACCCAGUUGGUGAUAUUCUGUUAUAACAGCAUAAAACAGACUGAGACAGGACGGGUUCAAAAAAUAUUGAUUAAUACACAUACCUUGACCGAAAGAAAAAGUGAUUACUAAUUGGACACAUAAGUGGACACAUAAUAAGCCGGGCACAUAAAUGGACACAUACUAGGCUGUUUCAGGGAAUGCUGUAUAAACCAGCUGCUCAGCACUUGCAGCUCUUAGCAGUUACAAAACAACUAGAUGGUUCACAAGACUCAUGUGAAGCUGAGAUUAGCCAUGAUCUGCCCAGCAAAGAGGGCAACCCUCAAUCAGAUUAGCCAGUUACCUGGCUAGUUGCUAGGUAAUCCAAAGUUCCGGGGGUCACUUGUCAGAUUUCCUGCUUGGCACUCCACAUCCCUACCAUACCCUACCUGAAUACGAAGAACCCUCCUUCUCUUUCAAGGUGAUUACAAGUCAUCCUGCACUGGGAAAGAAGGUUACAUUAAUAACAGUUUGAAUGGGGCUCAUUAAAUCUCAGGGCUUAGAGAAGCAGCACUACUUUUGAUCAAUUAGGAAAUACAUAAGAUGUCACAGGAAGGCACUUCUCAAAACGAUUAGGAAAUAUUCUCAGGCACCUUCUCUGCCCAGGUAACUUGUAGCGUCCUCAUGAGUGGUAAGCGAUGAUCUGUAGGAUGUGCCUUGGCCUCCACAUAGCUCCCUGAAGCUAGUGAUGAUUAAUGCACCAGCCAAUUUCCUUCUCUUUGUCUGUUCCUUCUGAGGGCCAAAUGACUCUAAUCUCAGCAAUGCUUUCUGCCCUCUGCCUCCUCCAAGGCUCUAUCCCCUUCUAACCCAGAUGACCCUCACCUGAUCUGAGGCACAGGAAAGGGCAGGAAGAUGGAAUUCUCACAGUCUUUAUUCUUUUUCCAUUUAUUUUUGUGGUAUAAAAUCAUUCCCUUAACUUUCCUCAAAGCCUCUCCAUAGGUGUUCAAGAACUUAUUUUGGAAGUUUCAAAACAUUUUUAAAAAUUUAAUCUUAAAAAUGACUUUCUCCUUGCUGACCUGCUGCGACAAUCCUAAUUCUCCACAGGCAAUUGUGAAUGCCUCUGUUGGACUAGAGGAAAGGUCAGCACAAGAAUGUUCAGAAAAGAAAAGGAGGAAAAAAAUACAGUAUUUCAAGACAACACCUCUUCACGACAACAUUCACUGCUCCUCUCCUUCUCCUCUCCUUGACUUCUCCUUCAAUAACUCUGCUGAAAUUCCUUUCUCAAACCUCUUAGUUACAUCUACUCAUUUCCUUUCUUUCAAACCUCAAUCUCUGAUGAUAUGUGAUAAUGCUGACCAUAUCCUCUGUAUUAUUUAGGAAGGGGGCAUGGUGAUACAUAAGCGGUAGGAAUCUAACUCCAUACUAGCUUAAGCUAAGAGGAGAAAUUAUUGGAAGGAUACUGAGGUAUUUCCUUCCAAAUGAAUUACUUGUUCAACCUUUUGUCUCAGGGUCUGCAUCCAGGCCUAGCAUGUUCAAAUGUGUCCUCCCAUCCAGGGUAGAAAUUAACUCUGUAAUAACCGCUAACAAAUGCAGUUGCAAUGUCUGAAUGUCAUUGUUUUUAACCAAUUGAAACCUGCCUCCUUGUAACUUCAACAUAUUAUAUCUGCAUCUUCCCUUAGGGCACACUUUGAUACAAAAAGCUAGAUCUGGAUCAGACAUAAAACUUCAGGCAAGAACACAUUAACCAUUCAUCAUGAAAAUCUUCUCUAAAAUGAAACAUCAUACAAAUGAAACAAUUCUGAAGAAUAGCAUCUUUAAUGAGUGUUCUAAUCCUUGUCAUCUGAAGUUUUGAAAUAUAUUUACCAGGGUCAGAACAAUACAGAGAUAGUAUUUGUAUAAUAUAGCUUAUUUUAAAUUUCAUUUAAGCCCUCUCAUUUCUCCUCCCACAGCUGCUGUUUUGUUUUGAUGAAAGAGAAAUAAGGAAUAAAUAAAAGGUCAAUGCUUCAAACUAAUCUACCUGUGUACUCCCUGAAAACUCUGGGACUGUAUCCACAGAAUAGGGAAAACUAUUCUCAAAUGCACAGUCACUCAUGCCUCAGGCAUGAACUGAU
rnacentral:lncRNA from 10 species